rnacentral:rRNA from 1 species
GGAGUUAGCCGGUGCUUCUUCUGCGAGUAACGUCACAGAUGUAAGGUAUUAACUUACACCCUUUCCUCCUCGCUGAAAGUGCUUUACAACCCGAAGGCCUUCUUCACACACGCGGCAUGGCUGCAUCAGGGUUUCCCCCAUUGUGCAAUAUUCCCCACUGCUGCCUCCCGUAGGAGUCUGGGCCGUGUCUCAGUCCCAGUGUGGCUGAUCAUCCUCUCAGACCAGCUAGGGAUCGUCGCCUAGGUGAGCCUUUACCUCACCUACUAGCUAAUCCCACCUGGGCUUAUCCAUCAGCGCAAGGCCCGAAGGUCCCCUGCUUUCCCCCGUAGGGCGUAUGCGGUAUUAGCAGUCGUUUCCAACUGUUAUCCCCACAAAUGGGCAAAUUCCCAGGCAUUACUCACCCGUCCGCCGCUCGUCAUCUUCAAAGCAAGCUUUUGAAUGUUACCGCUCGACUUGCAUGUGUUAGGCCUGCCGCCAGCGUUCAAUCUGAGCCAUAAUCAAACUCUGA